ACGGGAGGCAGCAGUGGGGGAUAUUGCACAAUGGGCGAAAGCCUGAUGCAGCGACGCCGCGUGAGGGAAGAAGGUCUUCGGAUUGUAAACCUUUGUCCCAUGGGAAGAUAAUGACGGUACCAUGGGAGGAAGCCACGGCUAACUACGUGCCAGCAGCCGCGGUAAUACGUAGGUGGCAAGCGUUGUCCGGAUUUACUGGGUGUAAAGGGUGCGUAGGCGGGGCAGCAAGUUGGAUGUGAAAUCCUCGGGCUCAACUCGAGAACUGCAUUCAAAACUGUUGCUCUUGAGUGCAGUAGAGGCAAGCGGAAUUCCCGGUGUAGCGGUGAAAUGCGCAGAGAUCGGGAGGAACACCAGUGGCGAAGGCGGCUUGCUGGGCUGUUACUGACGCUGAGGCACGAAAGCAUGGGUAGCAAACAGGAUUAGAUACCCUGGUA
rnacentral:rRNA from 2 species